AUUGAACGCUGGCGGCAGGCCUAACACAUGCAAGUCGAGCGGGUGAAGGUAGCUUGCUAUCUGAUUCAGCGGCGGACGGGUGAGUAAUGCCUAGGAAUCUGCCUGGUAGUGGGGGACAACGUUUCGAAAGGAACGCUAAUACCGCAUACGUCCUACGGGAGAAAGUGGGGGAUCUUCGGACCUCACGCUAUCAGAUGAGCCUAGGUACGAUUAGCUAGUUGGUGAGGUAAAGGCUCACCAAGGCGACGAUCGUUAACUGGUCUGAGAGGAUGAUCAGUCACACUGGAACUGAGACACGGUCAAGACUCCUACGGGAUGCAGCAGUGGGGAAUAUUGGACAAUGGGCGAAAGCCUGAUCCAGCCAUGCCGCGUGUGUGAAGAAGGUCUUCGGAUUGUAAAGCACUUUAAGUUGGGAGGAAGGGCAGUAAGUUAAUACCUUGCUGUUUUGACGUUACCGACAGAAUAAGCACCGGCUAACUUCGUGCCAGCCGCCGCCGUAACAC
rnacentral:rRNA from 1 species